CCAGACUCCUACGGGAGGCAGCAGUGGGGAAUAUUGGGCAAUGGGCGCAAGCCUGACCCAGCAAUGCCGCGUGAAGGAAGAAGGCCCUCGGGUUGUAAACUUCUUUUAUCAGGGACGAAGGAUGUGACGGUACCUGAUGAAUAAGCUCCGGCUAACUACGUGCCAGCAGCCGCGGUAAUACGUAGGGGGCAAGCGUUAUCCGGAUUCACUGGGUGUAAAGGGAGCGUAGACGGCGACGCAAGUCUGGAGUGAAAGCCCGGGGCCCAACCCCGGGACUGCUCUGGAAACUGCGUCGCUGGAGUACGGGAGGGGCAGGCGGAAUUCCUGGUGUAGCGGUGAAAUGCGUAGAUAUCAGGAGGAACACCGGCGGCGAAGGCGGCCUGCUGGACCGUGACUGACGUUGAGGCUCGAGAGCGUGGGGAGCAAACAGGAUUAGAUACCCGCGUAU
rnacentral:rRNA from 1 species